ensembl:lncRNA
UCUUCAGCCUCCUGAGGUUGAAGAGGCGCUGCUGCGCCUUCUUCACGAUGCUGUCUGUGUGAGUGGACCAAUUCAGUUUGUCUGUGAUGUGUAUGCCGAGGAACUUAAAACUUGCUACCCUCUCCACUACUGUUCCAUCGAUGUGGAUAGGGGGGUGUUCCCUCUGCUGUUUCAUCAGCUGCUGAUCUCAGAAUAUCCUGCAGGUGAAGAAACCGGACGUGGAGGCCCUGGGCUGAUGUGGUUACACGUGGUCAGCGGUUGUGAGGCUGGUUGGAUUUACUACCAAAUUCUCUAAAAUGACAUUGGAGGAGACGAUGGCUGAGGGGACUAAGCAGCUGUGACUCCACUCCUUCAGACCCCACUGAUCCUCUACAGUCACUCUUAUGUUCUACCUUCAUGCCUAAACGGAGUACUGUACCUUUCACUAGAACCAGGUGAUCUCUUUGUAUUCUGAGUGGAACAUCCCCUCAACUUAAAUUAACUUGUCACGCAGAACCAUUGAAUGUAGUGAAGGUAUGUAGGAAAACUAUUUUUUUGCAAAAUAUCUAUUUAACAUAGAAAUCUCCACCUUCCUGCCAAUGUUGGUUGCAAUUACCC